CCUACGGGUGGCAGCAGUGGGGAAUAUUGCACAAUGGGGGAAACCCUGAUGCAGCGACGCCGCGUGAAUGAAGAAGUCAUUCGGUAUGUAAAGCUCUAUCAGCAGGGAAGAAAAUGACGAUACCUGAGUAAGAAGCCCCGGCUAACUACAUGCCAGCAGCCGCGGUAAUACGUAGGUUGCAGGCGUUAUCCGGAUGUACUGGGUGUAAAGGGUGCGUAGACGGCACUGCAAGUGUGGAGUGAAAGGCAGGGGCUCAACCCCCGAACUGCUAGUGAAACUGUACGGCUGGAGUGCAGGAGAGGUAGGUGGAAUUCAUAGUGUAGCGGUGAAAUGCUUAGAGAUUA
rnacentral:rRNA from 1 species